GAUGAACGCUGGCGGCGUGCCUAAUACAUGCAAGUCGAGCGAACAGAUGAGGAGCUUGCUCCUCUGACGUUAGCGGCGGACGGGUGAGUAACACGUGUAUAACCUACCUAUAAGACUGGGAUAACUUCGGGAAACCGGAGCUAAUACCGGAUAAUAUAUUGAACCGCAUGGUUCAAUAGUGAAAUACGGUUUUGCUGUCACUUAUAGAUGGAUCCGCGCCGCAUUAGCUAGUUGGUAAGGUAACGGCUUACCAAGGCAACGAUGCGUAGCCGACCUGAGAGGGUGAUCGGCCACACUGGAACUGAGACGCGGUCCAGGCUCCUACGGGAGGCAGCAGUAGGGAAUCUUCCGCAAUGGGCGAGAGCAUGACGGAGCAACGGCGAGUGAGUGAUGAAGGUCUUCGGAUCGUAAAACUCUGUUAUUAGGGAAGAACAAAUGUGUAAGUAACGAUGCACGUCUUGACGGUACCUAAACAGAAAGCCACGGCUAACUACGU
rnacentral:rRNA from 1 species